AGUUGUAUGUAGGCCUUCCACUGCUGUCCAAAGAGGCUGAAAUCAUACACCAAUAGAGCAGUUUCUGCUUUUCCAGGACUGUAAUAUUUUAGUCCAUUUGAGGUUGGAAAUUUACAAGAUGGACUGUAGAUGACUUCUCUUGGCAUCCAUCCUUGUGGCUCAACACUUUGCAAGAUCUAUGCAGCCAACAGCACGAGGAAAGCAUUUCCAGAGGAUUCAUUGUAAUCUGCCUUUCAGUGGCAAUAACAGAUGUCUGGCAAUAGUGAUUGUGAGGGAUUAAACCACACUCAGUUAAGAAAGCCUUGAAAAAAUUAAACUGCUAAACACUACUGAGUCUGUGCUGAGUAUUUACAAGCUAUUUUUUAAUUUAUUUCAU